rnacentral:tRNA from 1 species
GGCGCUGUGGCUUAUUGGGUAAAGCUGCCGCCUGCAGUGCCGGCAUCACAUAAGGGCACUGGUUCAAGUCCUGGCUGCUCCA